rnacentral:misc_RNA from 1 species
GUAGGUGAACCUGCGGAAGGGUCAUUAGUGAAUUGAAUAUGUUAGCGGACCUCUUCGGAGUCCCUAGCAUCAAAUCAUAUCCAUAACACCUGUGAACUGUAAGGCUGUCUUGAAAACGAAAGUGAUUAGAGCGCCUGCCCAUUUUAUACAAACAUUAAAGUAACAAACGUAGUCUUAUUAUAAACUAAUAAAACUUUCAACAACGGAUCUCUUGGCUCUCGCAUCGAUGAAGAGCGCAGC